AUUUGCAGCAUGGAGAGUGAAGGAAGAAGCCAGUGUAUUCGUCCCUCUCACACAAGAACAAGAUCGCCAUGUAUCGGAUUAUUGAGGAUAUUAUUUAUUGCUUUUAUCCACACGGCGCGGGCAAAUAAGCAAGAAAGUUUGUCAACGAUGGUCCCAAGUUAACCAGCAAUCUACAAAAAGAUUAGCGUGUUCUGUGUUGAGAUUAGUUUAUCAACGGACAAUACAGAUUCUCAGCAAUGAAAGGUGCAAAAGCCAGCGAUAUGAUUGUAGCUACAAUGUAACAGAUCUCAAUAAACGUGUUAUGUUGAAAUUCGAAAUAUCCAAAAAAUGUUUCUCCCUUAUUAUCGUCUUUUCUGUGACCAUUCAUGUAUAUAUAUAUAUAUAUUUUAGCAGAACAAUGUUGCAAUUUAGUUGCACAUGCUACACAAAGUGUGGUGUUGUAGACCAGCCUUCCUGACACAGCAUGAUGAGUUGAAUAGGCAGCUGUGACUGGCAGCUGAAUAAUGCACUUUCAAGUUGAUCAUGAUACUAUUUCAAUAACCAAAUCCCCAUCAGAUAAGCAGAUAAGCAGUGUUUACAGAGUACAGAGUUAAAAGUAACCUGAAUGCGGUCUGUAAACACACCCAUUUUUAUUUUUUCUGUUAGUACUAGGGCCGGGCAACUUCAUGCGUUUCUAUCGUGUACGACAAUUAUUUUAUCAUGUAUUAAGGCAGUCUUUAUUGUUACUUCUAUUAUUGUAAACGUCAGUUGCUCACUCCCUUUUAGUCAUAACAAAAGCAAAACCCCGCCCGUAAAUGGUCAUUGUCCAGUCUUACGUCCUAUCAACCGUUACUAUGUAAACAAGAUCCUACAAGCUAGACUCCCUCAGCCCAACAUCAUACGAGCCACCUCGACCACAAAUUGGCCGGUCCGGGUCAGGCGUCUGGAGGAUUGGUGAUGAGGCGAAGCUGCCUCACCUGAAGGAGACCACAGGAAAGGCUCCUUCGAGAAGGUCAGGGCAGUGAGGGUAGCUGCCACAGAGUAUUUGCGGACGAUGUGACGAUAGAAGUUGGCAAACCCCAGGAAAUGCUGAAGCUGUUUGGGUUUUUAGGAACAAAAUGCUUCUCUCGACUAGCCAACUCAGUGACACCAUCCAAAGUUGUGGGCGUAUCAUAAGAAACCAGUUCAUCCUUUAUAUAGUCAAACCAUGGAGAAAGGUGUCACAGAAGGCUGAGCUGUUCCAUUGGCUUUGACCAGCCUCUGGUCCAGAAAUCAAUGAAGUAAUCCGCCAUCGUAUGCUCGCCUUGUUUUAGUCCCAUCAGUCCCUGUCUUGACUCUGAACUACAGCUCUCUAAACCAAAAAAAAA